CCUACGGGGUGCAGCAGUGAGGAAUAUUGGUCAAUGGCCGAGAGGCUGAACCAGCCAAGUCGCGUGAGGGAAGACGGCCCUACGGGUUGUAAACCUCUUUUGUCGGGGAGCAAAGAGAGUCACGUGUGACUCAUUGAGAGUACCCGAAGAAAAGGCAUCGGCUAACUCCGUGCCAGCAGCCGCGGUAAUACGGAGGAUGCGAGCGUUAUCCGGAUUUAUUGGGUUUAAAGGGUGCGCAGGCGGAGGUGCAAGUCAGCGGUCAAAUUGCGGGGCUCAACCCCGUACUGCCGUUGAAACUGCAUCCCUUGAGUGCGCGAGAAGUAUGCGGAAUGCGUGGUGUAGCGGUGAAAUGCAUAGAUAUCACGCAGAACUCCGAUUGCGAAGGCAGCGUGCCGUGCCGCCACUGACGCUGAGGCACGAAAGCGCGGGGAUCGAACAGGAUUAGAUACCCGAGUAGUC
rnacentral:rRNA from 1 species